AGGUGAACUUAGGUACCAAGACCCUUCUGAAAGUCUUUCCAAAACUAGAAAGUAAAAUAAGCACCCCUAUCUGAGAUGAUAGACAAGGGGACUCCAUACAAUCUGACUAACUUUCGGAUAUUCAACUUAUCAUAAUCCUUAACUAUAUAAGACGUGAAAUUGUAAUAAAUGCACGAACUUAGUCAAUCUGCCUAUGAUAACCCAAAUCCAAUCAUGGUGUCGACAUGAAUGUGGUAAACCAGUC
rnacentral:lncRNA from 1 species